rnacentral:tRNA from 1 species
GCGCCAGUAACUCAGUAGGUAGAGUAGUCGCCUUUUAAGCGACAAGCCAAGGGUUCAAAUCCCUUCUGGCGCA